UACAGAGAGUGCGAACGUUGUUCGGAAUUACUGGGCUUAAAGCGCACGUAGGCGGCGCCGCAAGUGUGGAGUGAAAUCCCACGGCUUACCCGUGGAACUGCAUGGCAGACUGCGGUGCUAGAGGAUGGUAGGGAAGAGCGGAACUCCUGGUGGAGCGGUGAAAUGCGUAGAUAUCAGGAGGAACACCGGUGGCGAAGGCGGCUCUCUGGUCCAUUACUGACGCUGAGGUGAGAAAGCUAGGGGAGCAAACGGG
rnacentral:rRNA from 1 species